rnacentral:rRNA from 1 species
GACGAACGCUGGCGGCGUGCUUAACACAUGCAAGUCGAACGGAAAGGCCUGCUUUCCCUUGUGGAUUGCGGGUACUCGGGUGGCGAACGGGUGAGUAACACGUGAGUGAUCUGCCCCCAACUUGGGUAUAAGCCUGGGAAACUGGGUCUAAUUCCCGAUAGGACUGCAGGGUGGUGCCUGUGGUGGAAAACGAUUUUCUAGUGGUUGGGGAUGAGCUCGCGGCCUAUCAGCUUGUUGGUGGGGUAAUGGCCUACCAAGGCGGCGACGGGUAGCCGGCCGGGGAGGGUGCACGGCGACAUUGGGACUGGGACACGGCCCAGACGCCUACGGGAGGCAGCAGUGGGGACUCAUGCACAAUGGGCGGAAGCCUGAUGCAGCGACGCCGCGUGGGAGAUGACGGCCUUCGGGUUGUAAGCUCCUUUCGACCGCGAGGAAGGCACCUGGUUGGAAGGGUGGUGACGGUAGUGGUAGAAGAAGCACCGGCUAACUACGUG